UAUCACUAAGCGGAGGAAAAGAAACUAACAAGGAUUCCCCUAGUAACGGCGAGUGAACAGGGAUUAGCCCAUCACCGAAGCCUGUGGUUAUUUGACUGCAAGGCAAUGUGGUGUUUAGGUUUGUUCUUGGCACUACUGCUCUGCCCCAAGUCCAGCAAUGAGUGCGGCGUACCAUUCUGGCCCAAAGAGGGUGAAAGGCCCGUGGGGGUAGAGACCAAGCAUGACAGUUUUGUCCAGAGCUUACCUUGGAGUCGGGUUGUUUGUGAAUGCAGCCCAAAGUGGGUGGUAAACUCCAUCCAAGGCUAAAUACUUGCACGAGUCCGAUAGUAAACAAGUACCGUGAGGGAAAGUUGAAAAGUACUUUGAAGAGAGAGUAAACAGUGCGUGAAACCGCUCAGAGGUAAACGGGUGGAGUUGAACUGCGAUCCUUGGGAAUUCAGCUGAUGAGCAUGAUUUGUGCUUGGGCAUAUUGGCCGCCUUUCAGUGUCUGCUUAACUGCGGGUACUUAUCAUCCGGUAUGUGUGGUGCGCUUAUCAUGUGCCGCACGCAUUGGAAGGUGUAUGGGUCUGCUUGUCAGUGCACUUUCUCAGGGUGUUCACCACGACCGGCGCUGCUGUCUGUCUGCUGUGGUCAACUGAUCAGGUUUGACUAAGGUUGAGCCUGGUUGGGUUGGCAGGUGACUCACUGGUCCACUCUGUGGGCUAUGAGUGUUACUAGCCGACCAUAGUGGAUCUGUACGGUGUGUCGGAGAUGGCGGCUUGGCAUGUGCGCUCUGUCCUUCAGGCGUGGUUGAGUCUGGUCGGCUUGUUGCUAGUUUCGGCUGGCCAGUUGAUGGCUUGAUCAUGUUCAGUUGGCAGUAGUGUAUGUGUCCUAGUUUGGGCCAAUAGUCUGUGGUGUUGUGGUAGACUAUCCACCUGACCCGUCUUGAAACACGGACCAAGGAGUUUAACAUGUGCGCGAGUCAUUGGGCGUUACGAAACCCAAAGGCGUAGUGAAGGUAAAGGUUCGGCUUGUCCGGGCUGAGGUGAGAUCCUGUUGUUUUGCUCAUUAACUCCAAGAUGCGAGCAGCAGGCGCACCACCGGCCCGUCCCAUGACGUAGACAUGUGGCCUUGUGCUAUGUGCACCGUCGGGGCGGAGCAAGAGCGUACACGUUGAGACCCGAAAGAUGGUGAACUAUGCUUGCGAAGGUUGAAGCCAGAGGAAACUCUGGUGGAGGACCGUAGCGAUUCUGACGUGCAAAUCGAUCGUAUAACGUGAGUAUAGGGGCGAAAGACUAAUCGAACCGUCUAGUAGCUGGUUCCCUC
rnacentral:rRNA from 1 species